AGAGUUUGAUUCUGGCUCAGGAUGAACGCUAGCUACAGGCUUAACACAUGCAAGUCGAGGGGCAGCAUGAACUUAGCUUGCUAAGUUUGAUGGCGACCGGCGCACGGGUGAGUAACACGUAUCCAACCUGCCGAUGACUCGGGGACAGCCUUUCGAAAGAAAGAUUAAUACCCGAUGGCAUAGUUCUUCCGCAUGGUGGAACUAUUAAAGAAUUUCGGUCAUCGAUGGGGAUGCGUUCCAUUAGGUUG
rnacentral:rRNA from 1 species